GAUGAACGCUAGCUACAGGCUUAACACAUGCAAGUCGCGGGGCAGCAUGGGGGUUGCUUGCAAUCCCCGAUGGCGACCGGCGCACGGGUGAGUAACGCGUAUCCAACCUGCCCUUCACCACGGGAUAACCCGGCGAAAGUCGGACUAAUACCGUAUGUUGUCCAUUGACGGCAUCCGAUUUGGACGAAGGGCUUGGCGGUGAGGGAUGGGGAUGCGUCCGAUUAGCCAGACGGCGGGGUAACGGCCCACCGUGGCUACGAUCGGUAGGGGUUCUGAGAGGAAGGUCCCCCACACUGGAGCUGAGACACGGUCCAGACUCCUACGGGAGGCAGCAGUGAGGAAUAUUGGUCAAUGGGCGUAAGCCUGAACCAGCCAAGUAGCGUGCAGGAUGACGGCCCUAUGGGUUGUAAACUGCUUUUAUGCGGGGAUAAAGUGGCCCACGUGUGGGCUUUUGCAGGUACCGCAUGAAUAAGGACCGGCUAAUUCCGUG
rnacentral:rRNA from 1 species